UACGUAGGGGCCUAGCGUUGUCCGGAUUUAUUGGGCGUAAAGAGCGCGCAGGCGGUCGAUCAAGUCGCGUGUGAAAGCCCCCGGCUCAACUGGGGAGGGUCACGCGAUACUGAUCGACUCGAAGGCAGGAGAGGGUAGUGGAAUUCCCGGUGUAGUGGUGAAAUGCGUAGAUAUCGGGAGGAACACCAGUGGCGAAGGCGACUACCUGGCCUGUUCUUGACGCUGAGGCGCGAAAGCUAGGGGAGCAAACGGG
rnacentral:rRNA from 1 species